rnacentral:rRNA from 1 species
CCCUUAUAAACCGUACCCGAAACCGACACUGGUGGACUGGUAGAGUAUACCAAGGCGCUUGAGAGAACUAUGCUGAAGGAACUCGGCAAAUUGCACGCGUAACUUCGGAAGAAGCGUGACCCCUAUGAACGCAAGUUUAUGGGGGUGGCACAGACCAGGGGGUAGCGACUGUUUAUCAAAAACACAGGGCUCUGCGAAGUCGCAAGACGACGUAUAGGGUCUGACGCCUGCCCGGUGCUGGAAGGUUAAGAGGAGGGGUGCAAGCUCUGAAUCGAAGCCCCAGUAAACGGCGGCCGUAACAAUAACGGUCCUAAGGUAGCGAAAUUCCUUGUCGGGUAAGUUCCGACCUGCACGAAUGGCGUAACGACUUCCCCGCUGUCUCCAGCAUAGACUCAGUGAAAUUGAAUUCCCCGUGAAGAUGCGGGGUUCCUGCGGUUAGACGGAAAGACCCCGUGCACCUUUACUAUAGCUUUACAUUGGCAUUCGUAGUGGCAUGUGUAGGAUAGGUGGUAGGCUUUGAAGCAGGGACGCUAGUUUCUGUGGAGCCACCCUUGAAAUACCACCCUUAUCUCUAUGGAUGUCUAACCGCGGCCCGUUAUCCGGGUCCGGGACAAUGUAUGGUGGGUAGUUUGACUGGGGCGGUCGCCUCCCAAAGAGUAACGGAGGCGCGCGAUGGUGGGCUCAGAACGGUCGGAAAUCGUUCGCUGAGUGCAAAUGGCAUAAGCCUGCCUGACUGCGAGACUGACAAGUCGAGCAGAGACGAAAGUCGGUCAUAGUGAUCCGGUGGUCCCGCGUGGAAGGGCCAUCGCUCAACGGAUAAAAGGUACGCCGGGGAUAACAGGCUGAUGACCCCCAAGAGUCCAUAUCGACGGGGUUGUUUGGCACCUCGAUGUCGACUCAUCGCAUCCUGGGGCUGGAGCAGGUCCCAAGGGUAUGGCUGUUCGCCAUUUAAAGCGGUACGUGAGUUGGGUUCAGAACGUCGUGAGACAGUUCGGUCCCUAUCUGCCGUGGGUGUAGGAAUAUUGAAAGGAUCUGUCCCUAGUACGAGAGGACCGGGAUGGACGGAUCUCUGGUGGACCUGUUGUGGCGCCAGCCGCAUAGCAGGGUAGCUAUAUCCGGACGGGAUAACCGCUGAAGGCAUCUAAGCGGGAAACCCACCUUAAAACGAGUAUUCCCUGAGAGCCGUGGAAGACGACCACGUUGAUAGGCCGGGUAUGGAAGUGCGGCAACGCAUGAAGUUUACCGGUACUAAUAGCUC